rnacentral:rRNA from 1 species
CCCUUAGAUGUUCUGGGCCGCACGCGCGCUACACUGAUGCAUUCAACGAGUCUAAAACCUGCUCUGAUAGGGGUGGGUAAUCUUUUGAAUGUGCAUCGUGAUUGGGAUAGAUGAUUGCAAUUUUUCAUCUUCAACGAGGAAUGCCUAGUAAACGCAAGUCAUCAGCUUGCAUUGAUUACGUCCCUGCCCUUUGUACACACCGCCCGUCGCUCCUACCGAUUGAGUGGUCCGGUGAGGCUUUGGGAUCUGAGCAAAGAGAGCGUUUCGCUCGUUUUGCCCGGAAAACUCAGUCGAACCUUAUCAUUUAGAGGAAGGAGAAGUCGUAACA